GAUGAAGAACGUAGCGAAAUGCGAUAAGUAAUGUGAAUUGCAGAAUUCAGUGAAUCAUCGAAUCUUUGAACGCACAUUGCGCCCGCUAGUAUUCUGGCGGGCAUGCCUGUCCGAGCGUCAUUUCAACCCUCAAGCCCCCGGGCUUGGUGUUGGGGAUCGGUGAGCCUCCGCGCCCGCCGUCCCCUAAAUCUAGUGGCGGUCUCGCUGUAGCUUCCUCUGCGUAGUAGCACACCUCGCACUGGGAAACAGCGCGGCCACGCCGUUAAACCCCCAACUUCUGAACGUUUGACCUCGGAUCAGGUAGGAAUACCCGCUGAACUUAAGCAUAUCAAUAAGCGGAGGA
rnacentral:misc_RNA from 1 species